rnacentral:rRNA from 1 species
GACGAACGCUGGCGGCGUGCUUAACACAUGCAAGUCGAACGAUGAUCCGGAGCUUGCUCCGGGGAUUAGUGGCGAACGGGUGAGUAACACGUGAGUAACCUGCCCUUGACUCUGGGAUAAGCGUUGGAAACGACGUCUAAUACCGGAUAUGAGCUGUGGCCGCAUGGUCUGCAGUUGGAAAGAUUUUUUGGUCAAGGAUGGACUCGCGGCCUAUCAGGUAGUUGGUGAGGUAAUGGCUCACCAAGCCGACGACGGGUAGCCGGCCUGAGAGGGUGACCGGCCACACUGGGACUGAGACACGGCCCAGACUCCUACGGGAGGCAGCAGUGGGGAAUAUUGCACAAUGGGCGAAAGCCUGAUGCAGCAACGCCGCGUGAGGGAUGACGGCCUUCGGGUUGUAAACCUCUUUUAGUUGGGAAGAAGGGAGCUUGCUCUUGACGGUACCAGCAGAAAAAGCACCGGCUAACUACGUGCCAGCCGCCGCCGUAAUAC